rnacentral:rRNA from 1 species
UACGUAGGGUGCAAGCGUUAAUCGGAAUUACUGGGCGUAAAGCGUGCGCAGGCGGUUUUGUGAGUCUGACGUGAAAUCCCCGGGCUCAACCUGGGAAUUGCGUUGGAGACUGCAAGGCUAGAAUCUGGCAGAGGGGGGUAGAAUUCCACGUGUAGCAGUGAAAUGCGUAGAGAUGUGGAGGAACACCGAUGGCGAAGGCAGCCCCCUGGGUCAAGAUUGACGCUCAUGCACGAAAGCGUGGGGAGCAAACAGG